rnacentral:lncRNA from 1 species
AAAGAUUACUAUAAGAUUUGUGAACUAAAGGCCAUACAUAAGUUGUACUGAUCCACAUGGGAAGAUUUGCUACGUGCACCUUAUGGAAUCAUAGAAGAUACCAUUUUUUCAUCUUUUUUAUGCCAUAACUACACAUCAGCAAGUCUAGCAGUGCCACCUCUCGACAUAGUCUCCUUUGCGCUAGUUACCAGUCUUGUUCCUUGGCGAAGCCUCAAUUCCUAUAAGAUCAAAAGGGCAGGCAUGAGAGAAAGAUAAAUGGAACACUACUUGUGCAACAUUUCGAUAAAAAAAAUUCCUAUGUUUUGCUACAGAUUACAUUACUUGAGAAUUUUU